GUGCUUAACACAUGCAAGUCGAGUGCGCGUUUCUGUAGCAAUACAGGAAUGGCGCACGGCGCACGGGUGCGUAACACGUGGGUAAUCUGCCCUCUGAUGGGGAAUAACUCCGGGAAACCGAAGCUAAUUCCGCAUAACAUUCCCUGGACUCCGGUUCGGGGACUCAAAGGCGUAAGUCGUCGGAGGUGGAGCCCGCGCACGAUUAGCUAGUUGGCAGGGUAACGGCCUACCAAGGCUUUGAUCGUUAGCUGGUCUGAGAGGAUGGCCAGCCACACUGGGACUGAGACACGGUCCAG
rnacentral:rRNA from 1 species